CACGAAGUUAGCCGGAGCUUAUUCUUCCGGUACGGUCAUUAUCCUCCCGGACAAAAGAGCUUUACAACCCUAAGGCCUUCAUCACUCACGCGGCAUGGCUGGAUCAGGCUUGCGCCCAUUGUCCAAUAUUCCCCACUGCUGCCUCCCGUAGGAGUCUGGGCCGUGUCUCAGUCCCAGUGUGGCUGAUCAUCCUCUCAGACCAGCUACUGAUCGUCGCCUUGGUGGGCCAUUACCCCACCAACUAGCUAAUCAGACGCGGGCCGAUCCAAAGGCGAUAAAUCUUUCCCCUUUCGGGCACAUACGGUAUUAGCUCCAGUUUCCCGGAGUUGUUCCGUACCUUUGGGCACGUUCCCACGUGUUACUCACCCGUCUGCCACUCCCCUUGCGGGGCGUUCGACUUGCAUGUGUUAAGCCUGCCGCCAGCGUUCGUUCUGAGCCAGGAUCAAACUC
rnacentral:rRNA from 1 species